rnacentral:lncRNA from 1 species
CAACCCGCAGAAACUAAAACGCUCCACCUAAAAAGAACUGAAGCACACCAACCAAAGAACUUAACGAAAGCCCGCAGCUGCUGAGAUGGUGUAGAACUUAACAAGAAACGAGCACGAAAGAAACCAGCUGCAAUUUUCAAAAAAAAAAAAGAAACCAGCUGCACCAGCAAACUAGAGCACAAAGGGUAACAAGACCGCAAAGCUAUAUGGAGGAGCGCUGCACUCCGACUAGAGCACUAGCCAAGGAGAGACGCCUUUCAGAAAUGUGGACACAUCGAUCCAGGAAUAGCCACCUACAAUCA